GGGGGGGGGGGGGGGGGGGGGGGGCGGAGGGGGGGGGGGCGGGGGCGGAGGGGGAGCUGGCUGGUACGGGGGGCGAGGGGCGGGCGGGGGAGGAAGACAGGGGAAUCUACUUUUGCGUGGGGGAGAACGGGGGGAAACUGACGCUAAUACCGCAUACGACGUACGGGUGAAAGCAGGGGAUAUUCGGAGCUUGAGCGAUUGAAUGAGCCGAUGUCGGAUUAGCUAGUUGGCGGGGUAAAGGCCCACCAAGGCGACGAUCCGUAGCUGGUCUGAGAGGAUGAUCAGCCACACUGGAACUGAGACACGGUCCAGACUCCUACGGGAGGCAGCAGUGGGGAAUAUUGGACAAUGGGCGCAAGCCUGAUCCAGCCAUACCGCGUGGGUGAAGAAGGCCUUCGGGUUGUAAAGCCCUUUUGUUGGGAAAGAAAAGCAGCAGGUUAAUACCCCGCUGUUCUGACGGUACCCAAAGAAUAAGCACCGGCUAACUUCGUG
rnacentral:rRNA from 1 species